AAGCCAGCCUAGUCAAGUAGCAACUGCUUGGGUUGAGAUUGAGAAACUGGAAGAACAUACUGAGAUAUCAACACUGUGUUGAGAUACCAGGGCAGCCUAGUCAAGUAGAAAUCGCAAAGGUUGAAACUUGAGAAACCAGCAGAACCUACUGAGAUCUCUACGGCUGAGGUAGAGUUUGAGAUACCAGAGCAGCCUAGUGAAGUAGAAACUGCUGAGGUUGAAAUUGAGAAACCAGCAGAAUCUAUGGCUGAGGUAGAGUUUGAGAAACCAGAGAAAUUAGAUGAACAGACAGUGGCUGAGACAACUGAAUCUAUUCGUGAAGAAACGGAAGAGCCUGCUGCCUUGUUAGAUGUGCCAGACGAUAUGGAAGAAGUGACAACUGAGGAAGAAGUUGACCAUGCUGAAAAUGGGCCACGAACCA